UUACUACUCCCUCCGUUUGGAAUUACUUGUCGCGAAAAUGGAUGUAUCUAGACGUAUUUUAGUUUUAGAUAUAUUCAUUUUUGAGACAAGUAAUUCCGAACGGAGGGAGUAGUAG
rnacentral:pre_miRNA from 1 species